CCCAGAGGUAUUGAUUGGUGAGAGUUCAGUGUUCAGUUGCUGAAGCCAACAAAAUUACACCGACCUACGCGGAUGCGUAGGUUUUUUUU
rfam:Edwardsiella ictaluri 93-146, complete genome.